GUGGGGUCCCGGGGACAGUCCUCUGGUUUUCUCCCCCUUCCUUACUUUAUCAGACUCUCAUUUAAGCCUUUUGCCUCAGGGAAGGCAUAUGGCAGGGAUAGCCUCCGAGUCACUUUCUGGAGCUUUGGGAGCCCUUACAGCCCCGGUUACCAAAGUGGGGUGUGCCCAGGGGGUGGCCAGGAGGAUGCGAUGGGGACUCGGGAGAUUUUCCCGGACAGAUCUCCAACACUGGCCCGCUGUUAUCUCUUUGCACAACCUAUUCCAAUCCUUUCUCUCUUGCUUUCCCCUAUCAAGAGCUGGAAAGCUAAAAGUUCACCUUUCCAGACCUCCGGGCAGCAAUCGUGGCCGUGGGGCUCACUUCCGGCUCGUGAGAGCGUUACUCCCGAGAGUGAAACGAGGAAGCCGGCCGCCAACGGAGAGAUGGCUUCUAGAGGAGGCCUGCGUUCCUUGGACCACCGCUCUUCCUCCGCCUUUAGAACCGGCUAGUCCGUGUUUGGGGGGAGCCGCCCCUCUCCUGUCUUCGUCCACGUACUUCUCGCGGAUCUGACCAUUCUCCUGUCCUCUCCCCCUCGAGGAUGAGUUGGAGGCACUCAAUCCUGGCUCAUCAGAGUGGCUCGUGACCUUGGCCAGGCCAACGAGAAGAGCUUGGCCUGGGAUUUGGGGAGGGCUCUUUUCCUGCAAGGUGGCGACACCAGUGGAAUGAAAAUCUGGAGCGGCUGGCGGGCCUCCUUCCGCCAAGGACGAAGACCUUGCUUGAGAGUCAAGUCCACGCAGAAGAAAGCAGACUAAGAACCAGAGAAAGGCCGAUUGCUAUCGACCUUGAGACCUGGAUCCAGCUGUACCUGAAGCUAGCGAAUAGGUCCUGACGUUUUCAGACGCUGAGAUCAUAAAUCCCCCUUCUGGCUUAAGCCGACUCACACUGAGUUUGUAGUUCUCGUGACUGGGAGCCCUGACCGGUACUCCCUUCUCCGAUCUUGAACACCCAACUCGAGACUGCAGAACGAACGCGCCAAAUUCACGUCAGCCUCCCUUGCUUCCCUUCCUCUCCCCUCUCCCUCUCUUCCCCUGCCAGCCAUGCUAUUGGGCGAUACAUCCUAAUGUAUAUUUAACAGUGGCUCAAAAUCAAAUUAAUUUAGAUUGGUUAAUAAACUGUAACAUCCGUUUCUAAAUCAA